AUUGGUUUGGACAAAAAGUUCUUGUAAGACUGAGAGUAGUCUAUUUUUUCCUUUUUCUCCAGUCAGUAAGUACCUUCUUCAAGUAAUUCAUCUUCCAGAACCAAGAGGAUUUAAAUGAUUAGGAUGAGAAAAAUGAAGUAUGGAAAAAAGGGAGUUGCUUGGCUACUGUCACUGAAGGCCACUUCGAAUUUCAUUUUCCUUUGAUUAGUCCUGAAGUAUGCUGUUCCUUCUUUUAAAUAGAAGAAAGUAAAGGAUGAUGCUGCCACACCAGAUCAAG